rnacentral:rRNA from 1 species
UGAAUGACUCUUGGCAAUGGAUAUCUUGGCUCUCGUUUCGAUGAGGAACGUAGCGAAAUGCGACACUUGGUGUGAAUUGCAGAAUCCCGUGAACCAUCGAGUCUUUGAAUGCAAGUUGCGCUCGAGGCCAUUAGGUCGAGGGCACGUCUGUUUGGGUGUCAUAC